rnacentral:lncRNA from 1 species
AUGGCACCUAGUAGCUCUACCCAGCCUCCCACACCUGCCACUACCACAUCUACACCGUCCACUUCACUUACAACUGAUGUGCCUGAAUCUACUUCUCCUCUCUCGCUUCAGUCUACACAGGACACGCCUCUGGCCUCUUCUGUACAGGGAUCCACCCUAAAGACCCCAAUUCAACUCAGUUCUACUCAUGUACCCACCACCUCCAUUUCUACCAGACGGACAACUACAACACCACAGAGUUUCAUUCAACAGUUCUCAUCAAGACCCCUCCAGCCUACUUUCACAGCCACUACAACUACAGAGUCAUCAUUCUCCAGUCAGCCCACUUCAGACUUAACAUACCAAUCUACUGCCCAACCUACUGUUCCAGCAGUUACAACACUGACACCCACAACAGCACCUUUAACCAGUGAAACGAGACUGAAACCCACAAUGUCUUUGUUGACUAAUCAAAGAACGUGGGCAUCCAAAACAACAUCUGUAACCACACAGGCAUCUACAACAGCCUUAACAACCAAUGAAGGCACGUCGGGAGCAGCAUCUACAACCAGUGAAACCAAACAGGCAUCCACAAUAGCAAUGACAAUCACUGAAGCCACCCAGGCAUCCACAACAGAAUCUCCCACCACUGAAGCCACAUCGACAUCCACAAUGGAGUCUACCACCACUGAAGCCACAAAGGCAUUCACAACAGCAUCUCCACCCAAUAAAGCCACACUGGUGUCCACAACAGAGUCUACCACCAAUGAAGCCACACAGACAUCCACAACAGCAUAUGACACCAGUGAAGCCUCACAGGCAUCCACAAUAGAGUCUACAACCAAUGAAGCCACACUGUUGUCCACAACAGAGUAUACCACCAAUGAAGCCACACGGACAUCCACAACAGCAUCCCCCACCAUUGAAGCCUCUCAGUCAAUCACACCACCAUCUACCACCAGACCUAAUGCACCCAUUAGUACUCAACAGAGUACUACAGAAGAGACCUCAGCCCACAGUACCCUUGUUAGAAUCUUACAAAGCUCUACAAAACCAACCACAGCACCAACUCUUCUUACAACAGUCAAAACUACAACUCAGGACCAUGUAACUACAACUACACAACCACCAAUAGUAAUGACUACAAGCCAGACAACCAAAACUCAGCCCUACUCUCAACUGAUAAACCCACUUUCUCCAAAAUCGCCACUUACAGAGGAAAGCAAUACUCAGUCUCCAACAGCAAAUGGCCCAUCACCAGUCUACACCACAAACAAUGCGGCUACCGCUGAAGAUUCCACAAGAUCAACCAGACUGCACUCACAGGCAGCAGUUUCAGUGACAAGCAACGGUUCGGUCUCCACCUCCCCAACUCCCCCUACCAGCAUGGAGGACAGCCAGCCAUACCCAAACGACACGAAAGGCUACAUCAGCCGGAACAUUACAACAGGUGACAGCCCGAGGCCUGGAGCCGAUGACGGCUUGACGCCAGUGUGGCACCUGGCAGCCAACACUGUCUUGGUAGCCUUGGCCACUUGUGCAACCAUAGCGUUCGGUUGUUGUUGUUCAGUGCUCAUGGCUGUAAGUUGGAGAGGUAGGAGAAGGAGAAAGGGGAGAUACCGGACUACUUUAAACGGGAAGAGAGGCUCGAUGCGACUCAUCAAAUACGUCAUUGUGAGGGAGAGCUUGUGA